UCACAGAAGUGUGAUUGACUUGGAGUUACAUUGUGUUGUUUAAGUGUUCCCUUUAUUUUUUUGAGCAGUGUAUUAUGGUCAGUUUACAUAUUGCCUCUUGUGGGUUCCUUUAAAAUAGUGGGUCCUUAUUUGUUUUGGGAAUAGAUUGUUUGAACCCUGUGUCAUGGUAAGUCGACCCAAGGAAAUAGCGACCUUGACAAAUAUUUGAGUCUGUGGAGAACAUGGUUCUCUGCUACAAAGACAAUAGUAAGAGGACGUUACCUAUGAGAGCGAAACAUUCACAAAACCAGCUCCAAACCUCUUCCCUGGUAUCAUAUUUCUUAUUAUCUCAGCCCAAUUAGUUCAAUGAUAUCUUGAAUGGCAAGUCUAAUAUCAGACCUAAUUUCCUUUGAAACAUGUUGUUGAGAGGAUGAUUGAAGAUAAGGGAAAUUGUAACAUAAAAAUUGUGUGAGGUGAGUGGUUAAAAUACUAUUCUAUCCUAUUUUUCUACCCAAAUAGAAACAAUUUAUUUUGAUGUUGUUACUAAUGGGCUGGGGAGGGGAGAGGGGUGGGGGAUGAAUGCCUCAGUAAUCAAGAGCAGAACCCCACUGCUUUCCUAACCUUGGUGUAAAAUAGAGAAAAAAAAAUCUCUAUAUUUCAAAAGUUGUCCUGUAGCUGUUAAUGAUCCCUUUUAUCUGAGUCUAUUGUUUGUGUAUUUUCAUCAGUGCAUUCUCUGGGCCAAACAUAAAGGGGUUUCCCAUUAGGGGCUACCCUAUUACAGGGGCUGCUGAAAAAGAGAUGUUUCGCCACUAACAACUAACACACAAGCACGCACACACACACACACACACACAACACACUCCACAGGCAAGGACACACGGGGGGAGGCAGGGGAAAGCUCAGCCAAGAUUCUCAAGACGAAACACUCACUCAGUCAAUCUGAUGUCUCCCAUUCUCCCAUAGAAACAUGAAAGGCUACAAGUACAUUCCGUCUAGAACACUAUAAUGUUCUCAGUGUUCUAUUCAGGAAUGUUACAGUUGAACAGGGAAACUUUUUUUGCCAGUCCACCCUUUAAAUGUCAUCCAUUAGAAUCAAUUAGAAUGUGCAGCACGCUCCAAAAAGGGCUAAAUGAAUAGGUAACCUAGGAAACGUGUACUCUCGUUCAGGUAGAGAGGUAGAGGGAUGGAGAUAUAGAGCAGGUUGAGUGAAGUUCAAAAGGCUCUCAAUUUGAAGUGCACCGAAUGAAGUACACUACAACCCUAUUUCCUCUUACAGUCAAGGACCCCUGAAGGUCGAAUGGAUUUCAUAUGUAUGCAAAUGCUUAUCUUCAAACCUGAAAAGCAGUACCUACCAGGGAGAGAAAAAGAACAAACUAUUCUCCCCUUGACACAAUAAAAAAAAAAUGGAGAUGUGCUCGUCUCAGAUCAGUACAGAAUGUUUUCGGUUUAGACCAGAUUUUUUUGAGCGUUUAAACAGUAUUUCCCCCUUUUCUUUACUGUUGCGGGUUAGUGGCUUGGACAGAAUAUUUGCAGACAUGUUACAUACAUAUAGUCUAGAGGUUUCUGUACCCAGAAAAAAAUUCCAGAAUGCAGUGUGUAGUUGGAAUGGAAGGUUGUAGAAGCAGGAGUUUGGUUAGGGUGGUUCCAAGAGGAAAACCAACAUUUCAAGGAACCUGGGUCACCACUUAUCAUUAUUUCAGUUGCGUAAGUCCCUGCUCCGUGAUUUAUAACGUUACUCAGAGCAAUGACUCAAAACACAACAAUAUCGAAUCACCGGCCAGAUAGAACAUGUGUCUACUGCACUCUUAAGAAAACAAUUUGCUAUCUAGAACCAGAAGGGUUCUUUGGCUGUCCCUAUAGAAGAACCCUUUGAAUAACCCUUUUUAGUUCCAGGUAGAACCCUAUUGGGUUCCAUGUAAAACCCAUUCCACAGAGGGUUCAAUAUGGAACCAAAAGGGUUCUACAUUGUACCAAAAAUAGUUCUACCUAGAGCCCAAAGGGUUCUCCUAUGGUGAGAGCCGAAGUACCCUUUUGGAACCCUUUUUUCUAAGAGUGUACCACACGACCAUACUCCAGCCUAGUUACUGUGGAUGGGGAUAAUGAGGUCUGGGCAUGAACUGAUGAAGAAGAAGAGAAGGAGGGAAAGAUAACAAAACUAAAUACCUUAAUCUAAUCCUUCCAUCUGUGAUUGACGUUUACAGCAUCAACAACCACAACAGACAUUCACAAAAACGGGAAUAUGGAAAACCACAGGAUUGGAUUGAGAAACAUCAGGUGAGUUAUGACCUCUAUUCCCAAGACCGAGCCAAGAUGGAUUCUCACACGUCUCUUCUGGCAGAGAGAAAACCAGACAAAUGUCCUAAUCUAUUUCCAUUCAGCCUCAUUAAACUUUAAUAAAUACAGAACUAUUCAUCAUCACACAGGCCGUUUGGUCGAUUCGUUCUACAGAUGUACUAGAGGAUAAUUUUAGAGCCUUCAGAAUUAAUCUGAUUUGAAAGCAUUGUGACCUUGGGUCCUACACUAAACUCCUUCUAAUUUCCUAAACUUUUAUCCGCAUCAUGGCAAAAGGUUAAUUCUCCACACGCAUGCAUGCACACACACACACACACACACGACACACAUGACACAAACCUUCAGUAAUGGAAGCUGUUGAGAACAGGAGUAAUCUCUCUGACGGAUGCCAGAGUUUAGUGGUUAACGGUAAACAGUUGACGUAAAUGGUUUACGGAGAACCUCAACGGAGGUAAAGCAGAAAGGAGGGAACAAAACAAAUGAAAACAGAACACAUCAUAAUAAAUCCCACUAUACUCUCCACUAUAUGAUGCACAUGGCAUGGACAGGGUUCACACAACUUAAAUUACAUUUUUCGUUGUCGGUCUCCAGCCAGGGACCCCUCCCGUAGGAGGACCAAGUGGGGGUGCAGGAUGCGGGUUAGAGGGGGGACACACUGGUCUAGUGGGGCACAGACAUUUGCCCACUGGCCGUCUCAGAGUAGGAGAGCGAGAGAGUUUAAGUAGAGAGUUUAGUUGUCAACUCAGUUCUGUUGUGAGUGAUAACAGGGUGCUGGGCCGUUCUGGAUACUAUAGUUCUGCAGUGUUGUGAGUGAUAACAGGGUGCUGGGCUGUUCUGGAUACUAUAGCUCUGUAGUGUUGUGAGUGAUAAUAGGGGGCUGGGCUGUUCUGGAUACUAUAGCUCUGUAGUGUUGUGAGUGAUAAUAGGGGGCUGUUGUGAAUACUAUAGCUCUGUAGUGCUGGGAGUGAUAAUAGGGGGCUGGGCUGUUCUAGAUACUAUAGCUCUGUAGUGCUGUGAGUGAUAAUAGGGGGCUGUUCUGGAUACUAUAGCUCUAUAGUGUUGUGAGUGAUAAUAUGGGGCUGUUCUAGAUACUAUAGAUCUGUAGUGUUGUGAGUGAUAAUAGGGGGCUGUUCUGGAUACUAUAGCUCUGUAGUGUUGUGAGUGAUAAUAAGGGGCUGUUCUGGAUACUAUAGCUCUAUAGUGUUGUGAGUGAUAAUAGGGUGCUAUUCUGGAUACUAUAGCUCUCUAGUGUUGUGAGUGAUAAUAGGGGGCUGGGCUGUUCUAGAUACUACAGCUCUGUAGUGUUGUGAGUGAUAAUAGGGUGCUGUUCUGGAUACUAUAGCUCUAUAGUGUUGUGAGUGAUAACAUGGGGCUGUUAUGGAUACUAUAGCUCUGUAGUGUUGUGAGUGAUAAUAUGGGGUUGUUCUGGAUACUGUAGCUCUGUAGUGUUGUGAGUGAUAAUAGGGGGCUGGGCUGUUCUAGAUACUAUAGCUCUGUAAUGUUGUGAGUGAUAAUAUGGGGCUGUUCUGGAUACUAUAGCUCUAUAGUGUUGUGAGUGAUAAUAUUGGGCUGUUCUAGAUACUAUAGCUCUGUAGUGUUGUGAGUGAUAUUAGGGGGCUGUUCUGGAUACUAUAGCUCUGUAGUGUUGUGAGUAGUAAUAGGGGGCUGUGCUGUUCUGGAUACUAUAGUUCUGUAGUGUUGUGAGUGAUAAUAGGGUGCUGUUCUGGAUACUAUAGCUCUGUAGUGUUGUGAGUGAUAAUAUGGGGCUGUUCUGGAUACUAUAGCUCUGUAGUGUUGUGAGUGAUAAUAGGGGGCUGUUCUGGAUACUAUAGCUCUGUAGUGUCUUGAGUGAUAAUAGGGGGCUGUUGUGAAUACUAUAGCUCUGUAGUGCUGUGAGUGAUAAUAGGGGGCUGGGCUGUUCUAGAUACUAUAGCUCUGUAGUGCUGUGAGUGAUAAUAGGGGGCUGUUCUGGAUACUAUAGCUCUAUAGUGUUGUGAGUGAUAAUAUGGGGCUGUUCUGUAUACUAUAGCUCUGUAGUGUUGUGAGUGAUAAUAGGGGGCUGUUCUGGAUACUAUAGCUCUGUAGUGUUGUGAGUGAUAAUAAGGGGCUGUUCUGGAUACUAUAGCUCUGUAGUGUUGUGAGUGAUAAUAGGGUGCUAUUCUGGAUACUAUAGCUCUCUAGUGUUGUGAGUGAUAAUAGGGGGCUGGGCUGUUCUAGAUACUACAGCUCUGUAGUGUUGUGAGUGAUAAUAGGGUGCUGUUCUGGAUACUAUAGCUCUAUAGUGUUGUGAGUGAUAACAUGGGGCUGUUAUGGAUACUAUAGCUCUGUAGUGUUGUGAGUGAUAAUAUGGGGUUGUUCUGGAUACUGUAGCUCUGUAGUGUUGUGAGUGAUAAUAGGGGGCUGGGCUGUUCCCAUUGCCAUGGGUCUUCAGCAUCAUCAUCAUCAUCAUCAUCAUCAUCACUGUCAUCAUCAUCACAUCACUAUAUGUAGUUAUCAGUAUUUUGUCUCCCCCAUACCCCAACUUCUUGUCUUGCCAAACUUUUAAGGGGUUUUGUUUACACACCUCCUUGACAGUAUUCUGGAUACUGUCAAGGUAUAUAUAUACUGCUCAAAAAAAUAAAGGGAACACUUAAACAACACAAUGUAACUCCAAGUCAAUCACACUUCUGUGAAAUCAAACUGUCCACUUUGGAAGCAACACUGAUUGACAAUAAAUGUCACAUGCUGUUGUGCAAAUGGAAUAGACAACAGGUGGAAAUUAUAGGCAAUUAGCAAG
rnacentral:lncRNA from 1 species